GACGAACGCUGGCGGCGUGCUUAACACAUGCAAGUCGAACGCUGAAGCUUGGUGCUUGCACUGGGUGGAUGAGUGGCGAACGGGUGAGUAAUACGUGAGUAACCUGCCCUUGACUCUGGGAUAAGCCUGGGAAACUGGGUCUAAUACUGGAUACGACAUGCCACUGCAUGGUGGUGUGUGGAAAGGGUUUUACUGGUUUUGGAUGGGCUCACGGCCUAUCAGCUUGUUGGUGGGGUAAUGGCCUACCAAGGCGACGACGGGUAGCCGGCCUGAGAGGGUGACCGGCCCCACUGGGACUGAGAACCGGCCCAGACUCCUACGGGAGGCAGCAGUGGGGAAUAUUGCCAAAUGGGCGGAAGCCUGAUGCAGCGACGCCGGGUGAGGGAUGACGGCCUUCGGGUUGUAAACCUCUUUCAGCACGGAAGAAGCGAGAGUGACGGUACGUGCAGAAGAAGCGCCGGCUAACUACGUG
rnacentral:rRNA from 1 species